AUGGGUGAAAGUCAGAGUGGGGGUUAUGGUCCUGGAGUUUGCAAGAAGAAUGGAAGGACAAGAAAAAUAAAUAUGAACCUCCUGUACCAACUAGAGUGGAGAAGAAGAAAACAAAGGGACCAGAUGCUGCCAGCAAACUGCCACUGGUGACAUCUCACACUCAGUGCUGAUGAAAAUUACUGAAGUUAGAGAGAAUUGAAGACUGUCUUCUCAUGGAGGAAGAAUUCAUUAGAAAUCAGAAAUAAAUGAAACCAUUAGAAGAAAAGCAACAGAAAAGAUUAAAAGUGGAUGAUCUGAGGGGGGACCCCAAUAGCAGUAGGAACCUUGGAAGAGAUCACAAUCAUGCCAUUAUUCUACAUCUGUGGGCUCAGAACACUACAUCAGCAUUCUUUCAUUUGUAGACAAGGAUCUGCUGGAACCUGGCUGCUCGGUUCUGCUCAGCCACAAGGUGCAUGCAGUGAUAGGGGUGCUGAUGGAUGACACGGAUCCCCUAUUCACAGUGAUGAAGGUGGAAAAGACUCCCCAGGAGACCUAUGCUGAUACUGGGGGAAAAGUUGGAUAACCAAAUUCAGGAAAUUAAGGAAUCUGUGAAGCCUCCUCUCACCCAACAUGAAUAUUAUGAAGAGACGGGUGUAAAGCCUCCUACGGGGUGGGGGGUCAUUCUCUAUGGUCCACCUGGCACAGGUAGAACCUUGUAGCCAAAGCGGUAGCAAACCAAACCUCAGCCACUUUCUUGAGAGUGGCUGGCUCUGAACUUAUUCAGAAGUACCUGGGUGAUGGGCUCAAACUCAUACUGGAAUUGUUUCAAGUUGCUGAAGAACACGCACCAUCCACUGUGUUUAUUGAUGAUAUUAAUGUCACUGGGACAAAAAGAUAUGACUCAAAUUCUGGUGGUGAGAUAGCAAUUCAGCGAACAAUGUUGGAACUGUGGAACCAGUUGGAUGGAUUUGAUUCUAGGGGAGAUGUGAAAGUUAUCAUGGCCGCAAACCAAACAGAAAUUUGGAUCCAGCACUUAGCAGACCAGGCUGCACUGACAGGAAGAUCGGGAUUCCCCUCCCUAAUGAAAAUACUAAGAAGAGCAUCUUUCAGAUGCAUACAAGCAUGAUGACACUGGCCGAUGAUGUAAACCUGGACGACUUGAUAAUGACUAAAGAUGACCUCUUUGGUGCUGACAUCAAGGCAAUCUGCACAGAAGCUUGCCUGAUGGCCUUAAGAGAGCCACAGAAUGAAGGUAACAAAUGAAGACUUCAAAAAAUAUAAAGAAAAUGUUCUUUGCAAAAAACAGGAAGGCACUCCCAAGGGGCUCUAUCUCUAG
rnacentral:lncRNA from 1 species